AUUAUAUCUAAUAAAACCAGUUUCUUGCACUACAUUCUAUUGUAUUGUAUUUUUAUACAAUAUUUGUUAUUUAUAAGUAUAUUUUUUCUUAUUUAAAAACAUAUAACAAAAAAAUGCUGUGUUUUUUGGAGGGUCUGGAAUGGAUUAAUGGCAUUUCAAUGGGGAAAAUUGAUUUGGCAUACAAAUAAUUUGAGUUACAAGCUCUCACAGAAUGAAUUAAAUUUGUAAGUCGAGGUACCACUGUAUUGUUUCCUGUAAUUUUUCAUUUUUAAGUUGUUUUCUGCUGUUUCCAAUGUGCUUGCAGUUCACCUCCUUCUGUUUCAAUGUUAGUUUUGUUUUCAGUUCAAGAAAUAUUUUCGACCACUGUCAACUAGUCUACAUCAGCUUAAGUUGGGAAGAAACUGUUAUACAGAGAAUCAGGAUGUUUCACCAGGUUAUUUAUUUGCAUAUCUUUACAGUUGCUAGAAGUAUUAGAGAACUGUGUCAAAUUACUUUUCUAUUAGCUAGAAAAAUUGUUUAUAUUACAAUAAAAAGUGUAAAAUGUUGUUAAGAAUUAUGCAUGAAAUUAUUUGAAAACAUACAGGAAAGUAUUAAUACUAAGGUUUUUUGAAAUAUAUAAUAUAAAAAACAAGAUAAUUAAGUUAAAAAAUGUUGGUUAAUAUGGUGUUCUGAUGAUAAACUAAGUAGUCAAUGAUGUGUGUGUAAUGGUAUGAAAAUAUGUGUGGAGCCAUUAACUAAUAUCUUAAAAUGCUAUAAAUAAGAUAUUAGUGUAGAAACAUAUAGCAAAACUGAUACGAGUAAAUUAAAUUUAUAAAAAUAAAAAAUUAUUAAUAAUCCAAAAUACUAAUAUUAAUUGAAAAAACAUGUUAAAGCAAACUAUACUUGUAUUCAAGAAUUCCUUCCAGACUCACCAAAAAAUAAGCUAAAAUUAGCACCAGAUCAGGAAGUAGCCCUACUAUAUGUUGUUCAACAUUAAAAGCAUAUAAGAAAUAAUAAAUAAAAAAACAAACAAGUUGGUUACAUUUUCAUUAUUUGUGAGAACAAUAAUUAAAGUAAGCUGUUAAAUUUUGUGUUGAGAUAUGUAUAAGGUUAUGUUUAGAUAACUGAUAAUCAUAUGCAUGCUAAAGGUUUACAGUGUAUGAAACUUCAUCACUCUGAGCUAGUAACAUUUUAAGGACUCAAAGCCAAGCAUUGGAGACUGAAACAAAAUCAUUAUGAUUGUUGUUUUGUAUUAUUUUGGCUCCUGGCCAAUCUGUCUACAAAUCCUGUUCAAACACUUUUAUCCCAAGUACUGUAUUAGUCCUACUCUUCAUGAUGUCCUGCUGGUUCUCUUAUUCAAGUGGCAAAAUUUCAUUUAGUGCACACUAUGCAAUAUACAUCUCAUUCCUUUUCAAACUAUUGAUUCAUAAUAAGGAUUUGGUAGAUGCCCAACUUCAUGUUAAGUUGAAUGGAUAGCUUAUUGUUUCUCAAGUAUUGGAAAAUUGUAUUAGUCUUUUUGUAUAUGAUUUUCUGUUCUCCAAUCUUUUACAAUAAUCUGAGAUUCUUUGAUGGGUAUACAAUACAUUAGGAUGUGUAUCUUUCUUUACCAGCUGCACCUUAGCUCUGCAUGGUGGGAAAGUUUACUUUUUUUCUUCAUUGUGUAGGACUCAUAAUAGUUUUUCAGUUUGAUAGCCAUGUUCAAUGUCUUGUCUAACAAUGUUUCUCAUUUCCUCAUCUUGUACCUGUUUUUUCAAACAAUGUGUCAAGGCUCUUCUAAAAAAAAGCAUGUUUCUUUUCUGUAAUAAAGGACUUUUUUUGCCUAGUACUAUGCCAUUUUUUUCGUCUCAUUACAAGAUCUUAUGAGCUUGGCCUUAUUUCAUUUUAUCUGUGUUAUCU
rnacentral:lncRNA from 1 species